UACGUAGGGUGCGAGCGUUGUCCGGAAUUACUGGGCGUAAAGAGCUCGUAGGUGGUUUGUCGCGUUGUCCGUGAAAACUCACAGCUUAACUGUGGGCGUGCGGGCGAUACGGGCAGACUGGAGUACUGCAGGGGAGACUGGAAUUCCUGGUGUAGCGGUGGAAUGCGCAGAUAUCAGGAGGAACCCCGGUGGCGAAGGCGGGUCUUUGGCCGAAACUGACGCUGAGGAGCGAAAGCGUGGGGAGCAAACAGG
rnacentral:rRNA from 1 species